AAGUCGAGCGGGCCCUUCGGGGUCAGCGGCAGACGGGUGAGUAACACGUGGGAACGUACCCUUUGGUUCGGAAUAACGCUGGGAAACUAGCGCUAAUACCGGAUACGCCCUUUUGGGGAAAGGCUUGCUGCCGAAGGAUCGGCCCGCGUCUGAUUAGCUAGUUGGUGGGGUAAUGGCCUACCAAGGCGACGAUCAGUAGCUGGUCUGAGAGGAUGAUCAGCCACACUGGGACUGAGACACGGCCCAG
rnacentral:rRNA from 1 species